AGCUCGCUUGGUAGAGUGCUUGCCCAGCAUGCCCAAGACCCAGGGUUUUCUCACCAGCACUGCAUAAAAUGAGUGUGGAAUUCCAGCACACUGGAGGUGGGAGCAGGAAGGUCAGAAACUCAAGGCCAGCCUAGACUAUGUGCCCAUUCUCUCCCCUCACCUCUCCCACAAAUUUUAACUCAUGCCUCCACCAGUCACAAACUCACUGCUUUAUGGAACUGUGACAUUGUUUUAUUCCAAUAUUGUUUCCAACAGUCCAAGAAUUUUCUAUCAUACUUCCAAACAAGAAAAGGCUCUUUCUGUGCCUUAACUGCAAUUCCUCUACCCCAAAUACAAGUCUUUUUAAUCGGGAGCUUUGCACCCAUAUUGUCCUAAAAAAAAAAAAAAAAAAAAAAAAAAAGGAAAAGCUAAUUAUCAUUGUCUUGGUUACUGUUCUAUCGCUGUGGAGAGACACUAUGACCAAGACAAUUCUUAUUUUAAAAAGCAUGUAACUGGGGGCUUGCUUACAGUUUUAAAGGGUUAGUCCACGAUCAUCAUGACAGAAAGAAGUCAGGCACAGUCAGCACUGUAGCUGAGUGCUUUAUGCCUUGACCUACAGGCAGAAGGCAGAGAGGAGAGGGACACUGGGCCUGGCGUGGUCUUUUUUUAAUGGACACAUUUCCUUAUGCCAAUAAGACUGCACCUCCUAAAUGUUCUCACAGUCCACUCCCAGGUGACUAAGCGUGCAAAUAUAUUAGCCUGGGAAGGACAUUGUCAUUCAAACCAGCACAUGUAUUUCCAUAUAUAUAUAAGAACAUUAGUGACUGCAGCUCCAGUGCAGAUUACGGGCUCUCACCAGCUCUAGUCAAAGGCAGAGUAGAGAAAGUUGAUCCUCUCUCUCAGUGUUAGGACAGUCAAGACAGAUCUGAGAAGCUGUGUUUGCUAAGUAUUGACUUCUCCUUGGGGAGCCUGGAUGGCAUCUCUGCCUUCAUCUUGUCUGUCUGUCUCCUAUAUAUUGACUGAAAGCAGAGAGAUAAAUUGUUCUAAACAGUUGCUUUGAAUUCC
rnacentral:lncRNA from 1 species